rnacentral:rRNA from 1 species
GCCAAGUCGAACGAAGGCUUUGGCCUUAGUGGCGCACGGGUGCGUAACGCGUGGGAACCUGCCCUUGGGUUCGGAAUAACAGUGAGAAAUUACUGCUAAUACCGGAUGAUGACUUCGGGCCAAGGAUUUAUCGCCCAAGGAUGGGCCCGCGUAAGAUUAGCUAGUUGGUGAGGUAAAGGCUCACCAAGGCGACGAUCUUUAGCUGGUCUGAGAGGAUGAUCAGCCACACUGGGACUGAGACACGGCCCAGACUCCUACGGGAGGCAGCAGUGGGGAAUUUUGGACAAUGGGCGAAAGCCUGAUCCAGCAAUGCCGCGUGAGUGAGGAAGGCCUUAGGGUUGUAAAGCUCUUUUACCAGGGAUGAUAAUGACAGUACCUGAAGAAUAAGCAUCGGCUAACUCUGUGCCAGCAGCCGCGGUAAU